CACGUAGGGGCCAAGCGUUGUCCGGAUUUAUUGGGCGUAAAGAGCUCGUAGGCGGUCUGUCGCGUCGGAUGUGAAAAUCCAGGGCUCAACCCUGGACCUGCAUUCGAUACGGGCAGACUAGAGUUCGGCAGGGGAGACUGGAAUUCCUGGUGUAGCGGUGAAAUGCGCAGAUAUCAGGAGGAACACCGGUGGCGAAGGCGGGUCUCUGGGCCGAUACUGACGCUGAGGAGCGAAAGCGUGGGGAGCGAACAGG
rnacentral:rRNA from 1 species